rnacentral:sRNA from 1 species
AGAAACAUUAGAUGUGUAAAUGGAAUCAC